ensembl:miRNA Mir3067 microRNA 3067
GCCCCAGCUUCCCCAGUUCUCAGGUCCGCUGUGGUGUGAAGUUAGGUUCACCAAGCGGCUGCCCUGGGGGAGGGGGAGGUGUGC